rnacentral:rRNA from 1 species
UACGUAGGGUGCAAGCGUUAAUCGGAAUUACUGGGCGUAAAGCGUGCGCAGGCGGUGAUGUAAGUCAGAUGUGAAAUCCCCGGGCUCAACUUGGGAACUGCAUUUGUGACUGCAUCGCUGGAGUGCGGCAGAGGGGGAUGGAAUUCCGCGUGUAGCAGUGAAAUGCGUAGAUAUGCGGAGGAACACCGAUGGCGAAGGCAAUCCCCUGGGCCUGCACUGACGCUCAUGCACGAAAGCGUGGGGAGCAAACAGG